rnacentral:rRNA from 1 species
UGAGGAAUAUUGGGCAAUGCCCGCAAGGGUGACCCAGCAACGCCGCGUGGAGGAUGAAUGUCGUAAGAUUGUAAACUCCUGUUAGAGGGGAAGAAUAGUACCGGUUGGACCGGUAUAUGACUGUACCCUCAGAGAAAGCCCCGGCUAACUACGUGCCAGCAGCCGCGGUAAUACGUAGGGGGCAAGCGUUGUCCGGAUUUACUGGGUGUAAAGGGCGAGCAGGCGGGAUAAAAAGUCAGUGGUGAAAUCCUACAGCUUAACUGUAGAACUGCCUGUGAUACUUUUAUUCUUGAGUUCGGGAGAGAGAGACGGAAUUCCAGGUGUAGUGGGUAAAUACGUAGAGAUCUGGAAGAACACCAGUUGCGAAGGCGGUCUCUUGGUCCGACACUGACGCUGAGGCGCGAAAGCGUGGGGAGCAAACA